GGCCCGCGCGCAGUCGGCGGCGGAGGAUCCGGGAAGCCUUUGCGCCCCGGCGCAUUUCCCGCAACCCCGGCCCUCCGCCGGCGGCUAAACUGCGCCCGGGCUGGCCCCUUUGAAAAUGCAGAAGUUGGUAUCCAAAGUUCUCCGGUUCCGGAAACCCGCGUGCGCUCAGGGAUUUAGGGGAAGUGUGGGCUUUGGCUCUGGCGUCCUUGGAACGGAGCUCGGGCGCUGACUUUGCUGCGUGACCUUGGUCGAGUCACGGACUCGCAGCCGCCAUCGCCUAUUGCUCCGCAGAGAGGGGGAGACGCCUGCCUUCGGGCGGCGGGGAGGAGCUAAGCGGAUGCAGAGUGCCACUGGCAGGGCAAGCGCAUGUUUACUCGUUUGUGGGUGGCUUUAUUCCUGCCGGGAGCUGGCAGAGCAGGGGAAGCCGCGGAAAGGAAUAAGAAGAGGAGAAGACGAGGCGUGGCCGGGCGGAGCCGGGUGUCCUCGGAGCCGCGAGGCCGGGAACUUAACGCGGGAACCUGGCUCUCUGCUGCCCUCCAGCGGGCGCGGCGCACCGAGAGCAUCCCGGCCGGACCGACUUAGCGGCCCGCCCCUCAUUCUUCCCGCUGUUGGCGGAGGGAGAAAUCCGGCUCCGAGCGCGAGUCCUGUUUCGAUUCACGGCCUGCAGUUUCCAUCUAGGAAGCUUCUACCACCCACUCGGCCAUUGAUUCAGCGGAUACUGAACACGUGCUUGGUCCCAGGCACAGAGCUCGCUGCCUGGGUGGGGUGGGAGCCAUGGCGCGUGUCUGCCAGGGCCCUCUGGAGCGCGCAUAUGUGGGCCAAACCUUUGGGCUCAAAGGUGUGAUUCUCAAAGGCUCUCCCCGUGGGCAUUCCUUUUCCUCCAUUUUACAGGUGCUCCUGAGCAUCUUCCCAGUUCCCACUGAAAGCGUCAAUGACUGCCCAGAAACCCUGAGCUAUAAACAAGACAUCGAUCCCCUGGCUGUGCUGUGUAAAAUAUUAACAACGCUUAAGUGGAUACCAGGCCUGAGAGCAGUGUCCGCGCGGCAUUAGCCGCCUGGGCCACGGGCCUAAUGGAUGAGGAACUGACUCCUGGGCUCGCUCACCAGCUUGGGGCCCGUCAGCUCUGGGGCCACAGUGGGCUCACUGAGGCUGGGCUGAUGGUCUUAUCACACUCCCCUUUCCUGGGACUUGGAGAAGGAAGCUGGCAGAAACCAGACAAGAAUGCCCAGAGUGGAAUUUCACACCCUCAAGGCUCCUCAAACUCAGCACCUGCAAAGCUGACCUCUUCAUCCUCUCCCAACCCGCCACUCCCCAAGUCUCCUCAUCUCAGUGUACAGCCAAAACCUCGGCUCUUACCUUGGAAUAUCUGCCUGUCCCCACCUCUGUCCAGCCUAUCACCAAACUCUAGCCCUGUGCCUCCUGCUCCAUCUCUGCCCCACUGCCAUCAGCCCAGCCAUACCAUCGUCCUCCCUUCUGGACUCCCAACAUGCGUCCCCAGUGCCUCUCCCCACCUCCACUCUGCUUCUCCUGCUACCACUUCUUGGCUCAGUAACCAGCAUGAUCAUCUCAAGACAAAAAGACCCUUCCCCUUCCCAGUUGGAAAGCCCCAGGAGCGCCCAUUUCAGCACUGGCUGUGUUUGCCUCUGUGGCUGGUGACCAUACCCCAAUUUCCUUUUCCAGCCUCAGUGCAGUGACUUUGAAGAUUUGCUCAAUCAGUGUGAGUUUCUCUUUUCCACUCCAUACCACCCCUCUGCUGCCACAGUGGUUGGCUCAGGGAUGGCCGCCAGAUGGGAGCCAGAAGACUGGCCCAGGGAAAAGCCAAGGUUAUAGAAGCUAAGUGGCCAGCCUGCCACCAUGUGGGAACAGCAGGCCUGAAAACGGAGUCAUCUCAGGAGAAAACACAGCAAAAAGUGAAGAGAAAGGGACCAAGUCCAGUUGGCAAUGCUAUGUGCGCCAAGACACAUCUAAGCUUGUAUCUUUCAGACAUAUGAGCCAAUCAAUCCACCAGCUAUGGCUUAAGGCAAUGUGACUUAGGUUGCUGUCCCUUGCAGCCAAUAGAAUCCUAAUAAUGCAUUCUCCAUUACUCAUGGAACAAUGACCACAGUCCUAAAAAGACCCCUAAUACAAGCAGCUAAAGCAAUUACUAUGUACCAAGUGUUUCAACAUGACUCAUCUCUUUCAUUCCUCACAGUUCUGAUAAGGUAGGAACUGGAAAGGAAAAGAAGUUGAAUCACAGAGUGGUUAAUGCUUUGUUUAAGGGCACACAGCUGAUAAACCAGAGUCAGGAUUUGAAUCCAAGCAGUUCAGCUCCAAAGCCUGUGAUUUCAUUUCAACCUUGUCCCCCAUGGCUGGACCCCUCCUCUCUCUUGCUUGUGUGGCUCUGGUCACACUCGCAGCUACCUGACUGAGCCCAGCACUCUCUCACCUUGGGGUCUUCGCACAUGUCCUUCCCUGGACUAUGCACACUUUUCCUCUUCCUCGUCUUUGCCCAGUUUCUGCCUCAUCAUCCUUGGGGGUCUGCACUCCAGUGUCACUUCUGCAGAGUUGCCUUCCUGGAUCUCCUCCCCAUCAUUGGUUUCUACUUCACCCCCAUCCUUUUCCCUUCCUGCAGUUACUGUAAUGGGAAUGUAGACAUUUGCCUAUGUGUUUAUUUGUUUCUGCUUUCCCACUAGAAGACCUGCCUUGUAUAAAGAUUUAUUUGAUAGGGCUAUUGCCUGCCUUGUAUAAAGAUUUAUUUAAUAGGGUUGGCACAUGACACCUUUUCCCAAUUGUUUCAGUACAGGCGUCCUAGUGUCACUAGCAAGAGUAUGGGUCUGGGAGUCUAGAAGAACCAGGGAUGAGUUCCUACGCCCAACCUUAGCCUGUUCAUGGACUUGGCCACAGCACAUUGCCUCUCUCAGCCUUCCUUUCCUCCUUGUAAAAUGAAGUCACUUGGUGAUAUUAUCUGCCUCUUGCACAAUGGGCUAUGGAUGUGAAAGUGUCUCAAGAUGCACAAGAGGGACCUUGUUUCUAGACACCCUGUUUCCUCAGAGCCAGGACAACAUAGAAAAUGACACCAAGGGAGCCCAGCUCUUUUGACCUUAGACUAUUGCCCAAGCCCUCUGUAUUAAUCCAUUCUCACAUUGCUGUAAAGAAAUCCCUGGCUGGGUACAGCGGCUCAUGUCUGUAAUCUCAGCACUUUGGGAGACUGAGGUGGGUGGAUCACCUGAGGUUGGGAGUUUGAGACAAGCCUGCCAACAUGGAGAAACCCUGUCUCUACUAAAAAUACAAAAUUAGCCUGGCAUGAUGGUGCGUGCCUGUAAUCCCAGCUACUCGGGAGGCUGAGGCAGGAGAAUCACUUGAACUGGGGUGGGGGUGUGGAGGUUGCAGUGAGCAGAGAUCACACUAUUGCUCUCCAGUCUGGGCAACAAGAGUGAGGUCCGUCUAAAAUAUAAAAAAAAGGAAGAAAUCCCUGAGACUAGGUAAUUUAUAAAGAA